GAGUGCAUGAAGCUGGAAUCGCUAGUAAUCGCGGAUCAGAAUGCCGCGGUGAAUACGUUCCCGGGUCUUGUACACACCGCCCGUCACACCAUGGGAGUCGGGAAUGCCCGAAGCCCGGUGGCCCAAUCGAAAGAAGGGAGCCGUCGAAGGCAGGCCGGAUGACUGGGGUGAAGUCGUAACAAGGUAGC
rnacentral:rRNA from 1 species